UUUUAUAGUAAUAUCCACCGCCUUCCUUUAACCGUAGGAUCCCCUUUGUAUCUGAUGGUUCUCCCUUCUCCUACGUGUUUCAUUCUUCACCACAUACUAUAGGGUGAAUGCUUGACAGCCAGGCAUCACGUGCUUUUCGCGUGAUGCCCUAGAAUGUUCUAUACUUUGAUUGGGUACUUCCCGGUUUGCUUUCCCUACCUAACUCCUAUGCUUCAAGUGCUACACCUGGCCCGGCUUGGUACUUACAACAGUAAUGAAGUCCUCCUUGCCUCACUCGAUGCCAUCAGUAAGUGAUGCCUACACUUACGUGUUAUCCUAAUUUGAUAUUGUAGGUUCAACACCGAUAUAACCCUCAGAUCAAAAUAUAAUGAAAUACAUUACUUAUACCUCAAUGAGAUUACUAACUCAAUGGUGCACUCCGUCGAUAUUAAGCAUGAAUGUAUAAUCUGUGUUAGAAAGGUUUAUUGAUUUCUCUAACUUAUUAUUUUUCUGACAAUUUUGUUCUGGAACUACAGACAAGGUCCUAGACGCAGUUGAAGUUGCUGA
rnacentral:lncRNA from 1 species